GAGGGUCUAGCUCAGCGGUAGAGCGUGUGCUUAGCAUGCACAGUUCCUGGGUUCAAUUCCCAGUCCCUCC
rnacentral:tRNA from 1 species